rnacentral:rRNA from 1 species
UACGGAGGGUGCAAGCGUUAGUCGGAAUUACUGGGCGUAAAGCGUGCGCAGGCGGUUUGUUAAGUCUGCUGUGAAAUCCCCGAGCUCAACUUGGGAAUUGCAGUGGAUACUGGCAGGCUGGAGUAUGGUAGAGGAAGGUGGAAUUCCCGGUGUAGCAGUGAAAUGCGUAGAGAUCGGGAGGAACACCAGUGGCGAAGGCGGCCUUCUGGACCAAUACUGACGCUCAUGCACGAAAGCGUGGGGAGCAAACAGG